rnacentral:miRNA from 1 species
CUGGGGGCUCAGGCUCA